rfam:Bacteroidetes bacterium OLB12 TZ12_BCD005CONTIG000039, whole genome shotgun sequence.
GGGGCUGACCGGUUUUGACAGGAUGUGUGGGGGUGUAUGCCAGCAUGCAGGCUCGUGGAAUGAGAGCCUUGAAAGAUAGUUCCGACAAUUUAAGUGGCGAGAAUAACUACGCCAUGGCUGCUUAAUCUAAACUGAGUUUAGGUUUGCUUAUCCGCUGAUAAGAUCGGUGGAGGCCAUCAUCGCCCGGUGCUCUGUUUUGCGGUGCCGGAUUAGCGGUGUCGAUAGCAUAAACUGGACUUGCAUUAUGGUUACGUAAUGUAGUUGAGACAAUAGUAACUAAGGAAGUGUUUGGCCGUUGCCUGCCUUGCAAUUCCCGACAACCAAAGUGCAACUAAGCAUGUAGAACGUACACGUUCAUCUUCUCUGGACCAGGGUUCGAUUCCCUGCAGCUCCACUC